rnacentral:tRNA from 1 species
GCCUGGCUAGCUCAGUUGAUGGAACGUGGGACUCUUAAUCCCAAGGUUGUGGGUUCACUCCACGUUGGGUG